GGAGAGCCGCAAGCGAAAGAGGGAGGUCUCCCGAAAAGUACAAGCGAUGAAAGAGGUUGUUGCCGCUGCUGCUCAGACGCCAAGUCGGGACUUGGUAGAAGUACCGAGCUCUCUGCGUUAACCUCAAGAGCAACCGACCUCGGAGGUAGAGGUCGUUACCUCUCCCCCUCGACAGAUCAAACCCCCACCACCUCCGGUCCCAAGUGCAAGAGAGGGCUCUUCUGGACCCGCCGCUAGGACGCUUUCCCGAGGUGCUCAGAUCCUCAUCCAAUCAUUGGAGAAGAAUCGUCCGUCUCACGGCAAUCCCGAUCUGGCCAAAGUCUUGAGCGCCACCCUCUGCUUUCACGAAGAUCGGAACAGGAUGGCGCAAGAUAGUAUCGACGAUCUUCUAACUCAGACAAUGAGUUUGAGCUUAGAGGUUAUCUCGAACCAGCACGUGAUCAGAGAAAAAGCCCAUGUCCUAAGGAAUGAGAUCCUCAAGGCGGUCCAAGAUGCAACGGCUGCAAAGGCCCAGCUCUCAGCCGCCAAUGAUCAGAUAUUUGAAAUGCAAUAGUAGGAACUAAAUUAAAUUACAACAGUUUAUGCAGUUAGAAAAAAAAAAAAAUUGCAUGAAACAGCAAAGGGCAUAUGGCAUUUCUUUUCUAGCAAGCAAGGGAUUUGAAGUAAAAUCAAGAUGCACAUUCUCAUAUUUUAAUAAAUAAUUUUUAAAAAUGAGCAUGGAAACAGAUAGUGAGUAGUUUGACCAUGACAAAUACUCGUUGCUGAACAAUGCUAACCUUCUUUAAAGGGAAAAUUAAUCAAACUAAAGAUAACAAUGCAAGACAUCAACAAUAAACAGUCACAUUUGAGAUGAUAGGAGACAACAAAAUGACUAGCCUUUGUAUCCAUUCGUCAGCUUGUAAUGGUAGCAAAACACCAUGUAGGGUACAUAAACACUUGCUUUU
rnacentral:misc_RNA from 1 species